UAGCCGACCUGAGAGGGUGAUCGGCCACACUGGAACUGAGACACGGUCCAGACUCCUACGGGAGGCAGCAGUAGGGAAUCUUCCGCAAUGGGCGAAAGCCUGACGGAGCAACGCCGCGUGAGUGAUGAAGGUCUUCGGAUCGUAAAACUCUGUUAUUAGGGAAGAACAUAUGUGUAAGUAACUGUGCACAUCUUGACGGUACCUAAUCAGAAAGCCACGGCUAACUACGUGCCAGCAGCCGCGGUAAUACGUAGGUGGCAAGCGUUAUCCGGAAUUAUUGGGCGUAAAGCGCGCGUAGGCGGUUUUUUAAGUCUGAUGUGAAAGCCCACGGCUCAACCGUGGAGGGUCAUUGGAAACUGGAAAACUUGAGUGCAGAAGAGGAAAGUGGAAUUCCAUGUGUAGCGGUGAAAUGCGCAGAGAUAUGGAGGAACACCAGUGGCGAAGGCGACUUUCUGGUCUGUAACUGACGCUGAUGUGCGAAAGCGUGGGGAUCAAACAGGAUUAGAUACCCUGGUAGUCCACGCCGUAAACGAUGAGUGCUAAGUGUUAGGGGGUUUCCGCCCCUUAGUGCUGCAGCUAACGCAUUAAG
rnacentral:rRNA from 1 species